rnacentral:tRNA from 1 species
GGGUGUAGCUCAGUGGUAGAAAGCUCACCCAGCAUGUGCGAGGCCCUGGGUUCGAUCCUCAGCACCACA